rnacentral:rRNA from 1 species
CCUACGGGGGGCAGCAGUGGGGAAUAUUGCGCAAUGGGCGAAAGCCUGACGCAGCGACGCCGCGUGAGGGAUGAAGGUCUUCGGAUCGUAAACCUCUGUCAGCAGGGAAGAACGGUCACUGUGCUAAUCAGCAGUGAAUUGACGGUACCUGCAAAGGAAGCACCGGCUAACUCCGUGCCAGCAGCCGCGGUAAUACGGAGGGUGCGAGCGUUAAUCGGAAUUACUGGGCGUAAAGCGCUCGUAGGCGGUAUGUCAAGUCAAGGGUGAAAUCCCCGCGCUCAACGUGGGAACUGCCUUUGAAACUGGCAAACUGGAGAGUGUGAGAGGAUAGUGGAAUUCCAGGUGUAGGAGUGAAAUGCGUAGAUAUCUGGAGGAACAUCAGUGGCGAAGGCGACUAUCUGGCACAUAACUGACGCUGAGGAGCGAAAGCGUGGGUAGCAAACAGGAUUAGAUACCCUAGUAGUC